rnacentral:rRNA from 1 species
UACGUAGGGGGCAAGCGUUGUCCGGAAUUAUUGGGCGUAAAGAGCUUGUAGGCGGUCUGUCGCGUCUGCUGUGAAAAUCCGGGGCUCAACCCCGGACUUGCAGUGGGUACGGGCAGACUAGAGUGUGGUAGGGGAGACUGGAAUUCCUGGUGUAGCGGUGAAAUACGCAGAUAUCAGGAGGAACACCGAUGGCGAAGGCAGGUCUCUGGGCCACUACUGACGCUGAGAAGCGAAAGCAUGGGGAGCGAACAGG